UAUCAUAGACUCAUAGAAUAGUUAGGGAUGGAAAGGACCUUAAGAUCAUCCAGUUCCAACCCCCUGCCAUGGGCAGGGACACCUCCCACUAAACCAUGCCACCCAAGGCUCUGUCCAACCCAGCCUUGAAUCCAGCCAGGGAUGGAGCAUUCACAACCUCCCUGAGCAACCCAUUCCAGUGCCUCAGCACCCUCACAGUAAAGAACUUCUUCCUCAGAUCCAAUCUAAACUUCCCUGUUUCAUUUUAACCCGUUACCCCUUGUCCUGUCAUUACAGUCCCUAAUGAAGAGUCCCUCCCCAGCAUCCUUAUAGGCCCCCUUCAGAUAUUGGAAGGCUGCUCUGAGGUUUCCACGCAGCCUUCUCUUCUCCAGGCUGAACAGCCCCAACUUUCU